rnacentral:rRNA from 1 species
AGUCGCACGAGAAAGUGGAGCAAUCCAUGAGUAAAGUGGCGUACGGGUGAGUAACACGUGGAUCAUCUACCUUUUAGUGGGGAAUACCCCUGGGAAACCGGGGACAAUACCGCAUAAGCUCGUAAGAGGAAAGCAGCAAUGCGCUGAAAGAGGAGUCCGCGGCUGAUUAGCUAGUUGGCGGGGUAACGGCCCACCAAGGCGAAGAUCGGUAGCCGGCCUGAGAGGGCACACGGCCACACUGGCACUGAAACACGGGCCAGACUCCUACGGGAGGCAGCAGUGGGGAAUCUUGCACAAUGGAGGAAACUCUGAUGCAGCGACGCCGCGUGAGCGAUGAAGCCCUUCGGGGUGUAAAGCUCUUUCGACGGGAACGAUAAUGACGGUACCCGAAGAAGAAGCUGCGGCUAACUACGUGCCAGCAGCCGCGGUAAUACGUAGGCAGCGAGCGUUGUUCGGAAUUACUGGGCGUAAAGAGUGCGUAGGCGGUGCUCUAAGUCUGUCGUGAAAUCUCCCGGCUUAACUGGGAGGGUGCGGCGGAAACUGGAGUGCUCGAGUGUGGGAGAGGUAAGCGGAAUUCCUGGUGUAGCGGAGAAAUGCGUAGAUAUCANGGAGGAACACCUGUGGUGUAGACAGCUUACUGGACCACGACUGACGCUGAGGCACGAAAG